CGUACACUCCUACGGGAGGCAGCAGUGGGGAAUAUUAGACAAUGGGCGCAAGCCUGAUCCAGCCAUGCCGCGUGAGUGAUGAAGGCCCUAGGGUUGUAAAGCUCUUUCACCGGUGAAGAUAAUGACGGUAACCGGAGAAGAAGCCCCGGCUAACUUCGUGCCAGCAGCCGCGGUAAUACGAAGGGGGCUAGCGUUGUUCGGAUUUACUGGGCGUAAAGCGCACGUAGGCGGACUAUUAAGUCAGGGGUGAAAUCCCGGGGCUCAACCCCGGAACUGCCUUUGAUACUGGUAGUCUUGAGUUCGAGAGAGGUGAGUGGAAUUCCGAGUGUAGAGGUGAAAUUCGUAGAUAUUCGGAGGAACACCAGUGGCGAAGACGGCAUACG
rnacentral:rRNA from 1 species